UACGUAGGGCGCAAGCGUUGUCCGGAAUUACUGGGCGUAAAGCGCGCGCAGGUGGUCUUUCAAGUCAGUGGUGAAAGCCCGGAGCUCAACUCCGGAAAUGCCAUUGAAACUGUAAGACUUGAGGAUGAGAGAGGUGAGUGGAAUUCCCAGUGUAGAGGUGAAAUUCGUAGAUAUUGGGAAGAACACCGGUGGCGAAGGCGGCUCACUGGCUCAUAUCUGACGCUCAGGCGCGACAGCGUGGGGAUCAAACAGG
rnacentral:rRNA from 1 species